rnacentral:rRNA from 1 species
UACGUGGGGUGCGAGCGUUGUUCGGAAUUACUGGGCGUAAAGCGCGUGUAGGCGGCCCGGUAAGUCCGCUGUGAAAGUCCAGGGCUCAACCCUGGGAUGCCGGUGGAUACUGUCGGGCUCGAGUCCGGAAGAGGCGAGUGGAAUUCCUGGUGUAGCGGUGAAAUGCGCAGAUAUCAGGAGGAACACCAAUGGCGAAGGCAGCUCGCUGGGACGUGACUGACGCUGAGACGCGAAAGCGUGGGGAGCAAACAGG